AGUCAUAUGCUUGUCUCAAAGAUUAAGCCAUGCAUGUGUCAGUAUAAGCAACUUGUACGUGUCGAAACUGCGAAUGGCUCAUUAUAUCAGUUAUAAUUUAUUUGAUAAUUGUGGGAACAUGAUUCUUACUAGAUGGAUAGCCGUAGUAAUUCUAGAGCUAAUACAUGCAAUAUUAAAACCCGACUCUUCGGGGGAGGGUUGUAUUUAUUAGACCUAAAACCAGUCAUAAGGAUUGGUGAAUCAUGAUAAACUUGUCGAAUCGCAGUUUACUGCGAUGUAUCAUUGAAAUUUCUGGCCUAUCAACUUGACUUAAGGGUAGUUUCCUUAAGUGGUAUUGACGGGUAACGGAGAAUUAGGGUUCGAUUCCGGAGAGGGAGCCUGAGAGACAGCUCCCACUUCUAAGGAAGGCAGCAGGCGCGCAAAUUACCCAAUCCCAGCCAAGCUGGGGAGGUAGUGACAAAAAAUACCGAUGCGGGGCAACUAUGUUGUCUUGCAAUUGGAAUGGCCCAAACGUAAAUGCUUUGGGGAGUAACCAUUAGAGGGCAAGUCUGGUGCCAGCAGCCGCGGUAAUUCCAGCUCUAAUAGUGUAUACUAAAAUUGCUGCAGUUAAAAAGCUCGUAGUUGGAUUCUGGGAAGGGAGGUUGGUGCUGUUUGCCAUGUUGGGGCUUGUUCGUGCGGGCGUAUGGUAUUAGGGGUUCAGCGGAUGCUAAGGGGGGCAUGCUGGGUGGUGGGGUUGUGUUUGGUGGAGGGCUCUAUAGUUUUGCAUGGUUUGGGGUGCUUUGUUGCGUGGCGUUUAUUUUUAUGUUUGGUGGGGGUGCUUGUUCGAGGACCUCUGUUAAGCGUAAGGGUGUACGUUUCGUAAUGGGGUGCUUUUGAUUGUGUAAGAUUGGGGUUCUUUUAACUGGGCACGCUGUCCCUGUCAUUUUCAUGUGUGUUCAUAUCCUGGUGUUGCGGCUGGCUAUUGGUCAUCAGCUGCAGUGCGGGCGUUCGGUCUCUUCAUGGUGGGUGCCAGUCUUUCUUCUUUUGAUAUAUUUUCCGAAUCAAUGCUCUCCCCUUAAGUGUGGCGAGGGCAUUCGAUCGGAGGAUUUACUUUGAAGAAAAUGGAGUGUUCAAAGCAGGACGUUUACGUCCAGAACACAUUAGCAUGGAAUAAUAAAAUAGGAUAAUGCAGGAGCCUGCAUGUUUUUAUUGGUUUUGUAUAUAAAUGGGCGCUUGCGUUAUAAUGAUUAUAAGGGACAGUUGGGGGCAUGGGUAUUGCAUAGUCAGAGGUGGAAUUCUUAGAUUUAUGCAAGACCAACUAAUGCGAAAGCAUUUGCCAAGGAUGUUUUCAUUAAUCAAGAACGAAAGUUAGGGGAUCGAAGGCGAUUAGAAACCGCUCUAGUCCUAACUAUAAACGAUGCCAACUAGGGAUUGAUGGGUAUUACUAGCAUUAUUAUUGCUCCUAUCAGGACCUUAUGAGAAAUCAAAGUCUCUGGGUUCUGGGGGGAGUAUGGUCGCAAGGCUGAAACUUAAAGAAAUUGACGGAAGGGCACCACCAGGUGUGGAGCCUGCGGCUUAAUUUGACUCAACACGGGGAAACUCACCAGGUCCAGACAUGGGAAGGAUUGACAGAUUGAUAGCUCUUUCUUGAUUCCAUGGGUGGUGGUGCAUGGUCGUUCUUAGUUGGUGGAGUGAUUUGUCUGGUUAAUUCCGAUAACGAACGAGACCUCAACCUGCUAACUAACCCCUUCAAUUGUAUUGGGUUACGAUGCCUCGUGGGGGGGGCUUGUUGGGUUGCCUUUGGGUUCAGUUGGGGUGUAUGGGAAGGGGCAACUCUUUUUGUGCAUUCUGGCUGGAUUUGGGGGUGAUUCGGCGGGUUUUUUCCUGCGGGGCUAGGCCCGGGGCGAUUGAAUGAGACAUUUUGUCAGGCGAGGGUAGUUAGUUUAUACACGUCUUCGGGUGUGUAUGGAUUAGCUAUUUUCGUUUUGGGUUUCUUAGAGGGACAACCAUGGUUUGUACAUGGGCGGAAGUUUGAGGCAAUAACAGGUCUGUGAUGCCCUUAGAUGUCCUGGGCCGCACGCGCGCUACAAUGAUAGGGUCAACAAGUUUUGCCGGUAGGCUCUUAGAAUCCUUUGAGCUUAUCGGUAAUACCUGAUUCGAAAGAAUCCAUUAAUUGGGUAAUCUUUUGAAACCCUACCGUGCUGGGGAUUGAUCUUUGUAAUUAUGGAUCAUGAACGAGGAAUACCUAGUAAGUGCAAGUCAUCAGCUUGCGCUGAUUACGUCCCUGCCCUUUGUACACACCGCCCGUCGCUCCUACCGAUUAAAUGAUCAGAUGAAAUGUUCGGAUUGUGUGGCUGCAGCUGGGAGGGCAACCUUUCAGUAGUGGUCAUGCAAGAAGAAUAGUGAAUCUUAUUAUUUAGAGGAAGGAGAAGUCGUAACAAGGUUUCC
rnacentral:rRNA from 1 species